UUAAUGGUUACUGAUUAAAACAAAUAAAUGCGCUAGAUAUCAAAGGUCAUAUAACACUGUGGUGAAGUAUUGUGUCGGAAAGAGUAAACACGAGUUGGUGAUUAGGAUAAGAUGCUCGAUGUCAAAGGUUAUAGAGAGCUGUAGGGUAACAUGGUAGUGAAAAGGGGUAAAGAGAGGAGAGCAAAUUAAUUAAGGAGAUUAGUAAAAAAGGGCAAGGGGUUAAGGGCAUAAGGCGAUCAGAAUGAAAUGGGGGGUAUCUAUGCGUCUGUGGAAGGGAGAGUAACGCCGUGUGAGGAAAACCGCAAACGAGACAUUGUCUAUCAACGGGUGAUUUAGGUAGAAAUGGUGGUUGGCAAAGCAGAAGAACCUAGGGAAUGAAAUAAGGGAAGAGGGGGAACAGGUAAUUUUCACAGUCUGGCCAGUCUUUGUCGUAGACAGGACAACCAGUCAAGGAGACGGAAACAGUUUCGGCCCAGGACGAGCGAACACGAUCGGCGCGCGCAGCACAGAGUCCGCCCACUGUGACGUCACUCAGGCCUCCAGACAGUUGUGAUUGCAGGAGCGGGCACGGGCACGGCGUGGGCAUCUCUGUGAGGAGUGACAGCGGCAGCGACACCGGGCCGCCCGUGGUGGCCAGCCGCUCGCCCUACAGCACGUGGCAGGCCAAGGACACGUCGGGCCAC